rnacentral:rRNA from 1 species
UGGGGGAAACCCUGACGCAGCGAUGCCGCGUGGAGGACGAAGGUCUUCGGAUUGUAAACUCCUUUUGGACGGGGGAAAAAUGACGGCGUGAAUAACGCCGUUCGAUGGUACUCCGCGAAUAAGCCACGGCUAACUUCGUGCCAGCAGCCGCGGUAAGACGAAGGUGGCGAGCGUUACUCGGAAUUACUAGGCGUAAAGCGCGAGCAGGCGGUUCGGCAAGUCUGUUGUGGAAGCUCCGGGCUCAACCCGGAGAGGCCAAUGGAAACUGCCGGACUUGAAUACGGGAGAGGUCGCUGGAAUUCCUGGUGUAGCGGUGAAAUGCGUAGAUAUCAGGAGGAACACCGAAGGCGAAAGCAGGUGACUGGACCGUUAUUGACGCUGAGUCGCGAAAGGCCGGGGGAGCAAACAGGAUUAGAUACCCUGGUAGUCCCGGCUGUAAACGAUGUUCACUAGGUGUGGGAGGUAUCGACCCCUUCCGCGCCGACGCAAACGCAUUAAGUGAACCGCCUGGGAAGUACGGCCGCAAGGUUAG